rnacentral:rRNA from 1 species
UGGGGAAUUUUGGACAAUGGGCGCAAGCCUGAUCCAGCCAUGCCGCGUGCGGGAAGAAGGCCUUCGGGUUGUAAACCGCUUUUGUCAGGGAAGAAAUCUUCUGAGUUAAUACCUCGGGAGGAUGACGGUACCUGAAGAAUAAGCACCGGCUAACUACGUGCCAGCAGCCGCGGUAAUACGUAGGGUGCAAGCGUUAAUCGGAAUUACUGGGCGUAAAGCGUGCGCAGGCGGUUUUGUAAGACAGAGGUGAAAUCCCCGGGCUCAACCUGGGAACUGCCUUUGUGACUGCAAGGCUUGAGUGCGGCAGAGAGGGAUGGAAUUCCGCGUGUAGCAGUGAAAUGCGUAGAUAUGCGGAGGAACACCGAUGGCGAAGGCAAUCCCCUGGGCCUGCACUGACGCCCAUGCACGAAAGCGUGGGGAGCAAACAGGAUUAGAUACCCUGGUAGUCCACGCCCUAAACGAUGUCAACUGGUUGUUGGGAAGGUUCCUUCUCAGUAACGUAGCUAACGCGUGAAGUUGACCGCCUGGGGAGUACGGCCGCAAGGUUGAAACUUAAAUGAAUUGACGGGGU